rnacentral:piRNA from 1 species
UCUUCCCAUGGAGUCAGGAAUAGGCCGU